UACGUAGGGUGCAAGCGUUGUUCGGAAUUAUUGGGCGUAAAGCGUGCGUAGGCGGCUUCUUAAGUCCGUUGUGAAAGUCAAAGGCUCAACCUUUGAAUGCCGAUGGAUACUGCGAAGCUAGAGUACGGAAGAGGCGAGUGGAAUUCCUGGUGUAGCGGUGGAAUGCGCAGAUAUCAGGAGGAACACCAAUAGCGAAGGCAGCUCGCUGGGACGUUACUGACACUAAGGCGCGAAAGCGUGGGGAGCGAACAGG
rnacentral:rRNA from 1 species